AGCAAGCGGACCAAUGCAUACACGGCGACCGAGGACAAGCUUCUUUGCGAGUGUUGGAGAGACAUUGGGCAAGACCCCAAGAUGGGCGCCGAACAAAAGCAUUCAACUUUUUGGAUUCAUGUCCACCGUGAGUUCCAUGAGCGCAAGAAGUUUUCGCCGUACCAAAUAGUCAGCGCACGCGGAUGGGUGUCCAUUUCUAGGCGAUGGAGGGUGAUCCAACAAGAGUGCAACAAGUUUUGUGCCACUCUUGAGAGUGUCAAGGCCCGCGCCGUGAGCAGCAUCGGCAUGCAAGACAUGGUAUGCUAG
rnacentral:rRNA from 1 species